CAUCAGCAGAGAAUGAAGACGUGUGGGAGCUGAUGAAGGUCGCGGAGAGAGAAGGGUGAAGCGGUCAUCUCGGAGAGUGGCACACUAAAUGGCCAGGGAAUCGGAGCAAGCUGCAUGCGGAUGGUGUGGUUGGUGGAGCUAUAAGAUGGAAGAAGCCAGAUUCCUGAACUGCCGUGUGAAGAAUAAUAUCCAGUGUACUACUAAUGUACUUAGAGUAUUUUAUGAGCUAAAAAUAAAUUUCUAUUGUAUUAAGCCGC
rnacentral:lncRNA from 1 species